UACAGAGGUCUCAAGCGUUGUUCGGAAUUACUGGGCGUAAAGCGUGCGCAGGCGGUGAUGUAAGACAGAUGUGAAAUCCCCGGGCUCAACCUGGGAACUGCAUUUGUGACUGCAUCGCUGGAGUGCGGCAGAGGGGGAUGGAAUUCCGCGUGUAGCAGUGAAAUGCGUAGAUAUGCGGAGGAACACCGAUGGCGAAGGCAAUCCCCUGGGCCUGCACUGACGCUCAUGCACGAAAGCGUGGGGAGCGAACAGG
rnacentral:rRNA from 1 species